rnacentral:sRNA from 1 species
UGGGCCACGACUAAAUAGUUUGCACGUGUUGAGAGACCCAUUCAACAGCGCUCCAAAAUCCCAGGUAGCGAGGUUCCAAGUUCGAGCUUCCAUUUAGCUCUCUCGGUUGUUUCUCUCUCUUCUGUUGCGCGAUUAGAGUUAAAGCCAUUGCUCCGAAGCCGACCUUUCUCUUCCAAUCACAAGGAAAUCUGAGAUUUUUUUCGGUUCUUCUCAAUGGCGGACGAGGAACUUGUUGAUCAAAAAAAGUAUCUUGAGGAGUCUUGCCAGCCUAAAUGUGUAAAGCCUCUGAUUGAAUAUCAGGCAUGUGUUAAGAGGGUUGAAGGUGACAACGGUGGAGACAAGCAUUGCACAGGGCAGUACUUUGACUACAUAUCUUGUGUUGACAAAUGCGUUGCGCCGAAGUUAUUUCAGAAGCUCAAGUAACUGAGUUGAAGUUCUAGGGUCUCCCCAUCCUUUAAUUGCUACCCCUUACAGUGGAUAUGAAUUUUUAACUUGCGCUACGAUGUUUGACGGUUUUUGUUUCCAGCGACAUGAUUCAAAUCUUGUUGAGAGGUCUUGAAUUAGAAUAAAAAGAUGACUUUGUGAGUUGGUCUUGUCAUCCUACCAUCAACUUUUACCAUUCUUUUGCAAUUAUUGAUUGAUGAGUCGUGCGUCGGCGCAUGAUGCUAUAACCUAGGGCUGUGGUGUCUCGUACACGACUGAAGCUAGCACAAUAGUAGAUUCUGGUAGGCCUACCAUAAUCUAGGGCUGUGGUGUCUCGUACACGACU